rnacentral:rRNA from 1 species
GACGAACGCUGGCGGCGUGCUUAACACAUGCAAGUCGAACGGAAAGGCCCCGCUUUUGUGGGGUGCUCGAGUGGCGAACGGGUGAGUAACACGUGAGUAACCUGCCCUUGACUUUGGGAUAACUUCAGGAAACUGGGGCUAAUACCGGAUAGGAGCUCCUGCUGCAUGGUGGGGGUUGGAAAGUUUCGGCGGUUGGGGAUGGACUCGCGGCUUAUCAGCUUGUUGGUGGGGUAGUGGCUUACCAAGGCUUUGACGGGUAGCCGGCCUGAGAGGGUGACCGGCCACAUUGGGACUGGGAUACGGCCCAGACUCCUACGGGAGGCAGCAGUGGGGAAUAUUGCACAAUGGGCGGAAGCCUGAUGCAGCAACGCCGCGUGCGGGAUGACGGCCUUCGGGUUGUAAACCGCUUUCGCCUGUGACGAAGCGUGAGUGACGGUAAUGGGUAAAGAAGCACCGGCUAACUACGUG